GACGAACGCUGGCGGCGUGCCUAAUACAUGCAAGUAGAACGCUGAAGGAGGAGCUUGCUUCUCCGGAUGAGUUGCGAACGGGUGAGUAACGCGUAGGUAACCUGCCUGGUAGCGGGGGAUAACUAUUGGAAACGAUAGCUAAUACCGCAUAAGAGUAGAUGUCGCAUGACAUUUGCUUAAAAGGUGCAACUGCACCACUACCAGAUGGACCUGCGUUGUAUUAGCUAGUUGGUGAGGUAACGGCUCACCAAGGCAACGAUACAUAGCCGACCUGAGAGGGUGAUCGGCCACACUGGGACUGAGACACGGCCCAGACUCCUACGGGAGGCAGCAGGAGGGAAUCUUCGGCAAUGGACGGAAGUCUGACCGAGCAACGCCGCGUGAGUGAAGAAGGUUUUCGGAUCGUAAAGCUCUGUUGUAAGAGAAGAAAGAGAGUGAGAGUGGAAAGUUCACACUGUGACGGUAUCUUACCAGAAAGGGACGGCUAACUACGUG
rnacentral:rRNA from 1 species